CCCUUAGAUGUCCUGGGCCGCACGCGCGCUACACUGAGUGUCUGAGAUACGAGUCUGCCUGGUCCGGCAAGGUCUAGGUAAUCGCUAAAAGACACAUCAUGCUUGGGAUAGAUUAUUGCAAAUAUUAAUCUUGAACGAGGAAUUCCUAGUAAGCACAAGUCAACAGCUUGCGUUUAUUACGUCCCUGCCCUUUGUACACACCGCCCGUCGCUACUACUGAUUGGAUGUUUAAGCGAGGUUCUCGAACUGCUAGCGACUUAGCUUCGGUGAGGUCGCAGUGUGGGAAGUGAACCUAGCUUUGGUGUCUAGAGGAAGUAAAAGUCGUAACA
rnacentral:rRNA from 1 species